GAUCAUACCAAGGCACCCCACACCAAUUUAUUUGAUAGGACGACUGGAAUGACUCCACAAUGGCGGAUAACAAUGCGGCCGACGGGAGUUACUAUCGCAAGGGAAGUGCUGCCCCUCUACCAAGUAAGGUAAAACAGUUUGGAAACUGCUAUUGCGUGUUUUCCAUCAUUUAUCAUCUGCCAUAAACAAUACAAUAAUGAAUGGUAAAAAUAAAAAUACAGCAAGAAACCACUCGUAUACUUUGUCAUUGCAUAAAGACAAGCUAAUUGUGUCAUCUUUUAUUUUCAAAUUGUCAUAUAAAUCAAUUUAUAGAAGUA